UACGUAGGGUGCGAGCGUUGUCCGGAAUUACUGGGCGUAAAGAGCUCGUAGGCGGUUUGUCGCGUCUGCUGUGAAAACGCGAGGCUCAACCUCGCGCCUGCAGUGGGUACGGGCAGACUGGAGGCAUGCAGGGGAGAACGGAAUUCCUGGUGUAGCGGUGAAUGCGCAGAUAUCAGGAGGAACACCGGUGGCGAAGGCGGUUCUCUGGGCCUGUACUGACGUGAGGAGCGAAAGCGUGGGGAGCGAACAGG
rnacentral:rRNA from 1 species